GACGAACGCUGGCGGCGUGCUUAACACAUGCAAGUCGAGCGGAAAGGCCCUUCGGGGUACUCGAGCGGCGAACGGGUGAGUAACACGUGAGUAACCUGCCCCAGACUUUGGGAUAACCCUCGGAAACGGGGGCUAAUACCGGAUACGACACAGCUUCGCAUGGGGUCUGUGUGGAAAGUUUUUCGGUUUGGGAUGGGCUCGCGGCCUAUCAGCUUGUUGGUGGGGUGAUGGCCUACCAAGGCGACGACGGGUAGCCGGCCUGAGAGGGCGACCGGCCACACUGGGACGGAGACACGGCCCAGACUCCUACGGGAGGCAGCAGUGGGGAAUAUUGCACUAUGGGCGGAAGCCUGAUGCAGCGACGCCGCGUGGGGGAUGACGGCCUUCGGGUUGUAAACCUCUUUCAGCAGGGACGAAGCGUAAGUGACGGUACCUGCAGAAGAAGCGCCGGCCAACUACGUG
rnacentral:rRNA from 1 species